rnacentral:rRNA from 1 species
UGAGCAAUCUGCCCUUCUCUUUGGAAUAAGCGUGGGAAACCGCGUCUAAUGCCGAAUACGACCUCCUUUCGCAUGAUCGGAGGUGGAAAGCUCCGGCGGAGAAGGAUGAGCUCGCGGCCUAUCAGCUAGUUGGUGUGGGUAAUGGCCCACCAAGGCGACGACGGGUAGCCGGCCUGAGAGGGCGACCGGCCACACGUGGGACUGAGACACGGCCCAGACCUCCGUACGGGAGGNAGCG